rnacentral:rRNA from 1 species
UACGGAGAGUGCAAGCGUUAUCCGGAUUCACUGGGUUUAAAGGGUGCGUAGGUGGAGUGGUAAGUCAGUGGUGAAAUCUCCAAGCUUAACUUGGAAACUGCCGUUGAUACUAUCAUUCUUGAAUAUCGUGGAGGUAAGCGGAAUAUGUCAUGUAGCGGUGAAAUGCUUAGAUAUGACAUAGAACACCGAUUGCGAAGGCAGCUUGCUACACGAUCAUUGACACUGAGGCACGAAAGCGUGGGGAUCAAAC